rnacentral:lncRNA from 1 species
GUCACAAGAUCAUGGUCAUAGAAUUAAAACUCAAAUGCUAUACUUGCCUUGAUCCAAUUGCUCCUGCUAGUCCUGCUGAUCUUACUUGCCUCCAAGACUCUGAUCUUGAUUACCGAAGUAAUGCCCACUGACUAGGCUCGGUCACCAAAUAUCAACACACAAGCAAUCGGAGACAGAUAUACACGAAGCAAACAAGAUUACAAUUAGAACAGUACACCAGCAGUAAAUAAAUUUAAAUAAAAGUUUUCCAAAAUCAUCUACACGCUGCUACGAUCAUGUCAACGAGAAAUUCACGGAAAACGGAGUUACGACGCGAAAGUUACGCUUUUAACGGGAUUUCAACAGCAGUUUACGGUCUUGUAAUUUACUAGGGAAUCUAACAGUGGUGAAUCUAGCCAACAAAGGUACCAACGCGAAGCUUAUGAAAUUAUGAAACUAACGCAACUUGAACGGAUCGAAACGGAGCUAAAACGGAGAAGAUAUGAAUUUUUUAAGAUUUUAUAUAGAAAAGUAAUUUAAUAAAUAGGGUCACAAAAUUGAAAUGUUUCAAACUGAUGAACCAAGAUUACUAACAUGUUGAUCUCGCGAAAACGAAUCUAACGCAAUUUGAACGGGUCAAAUCGGAGUUAAAACGAAUAUUUUAUGGCCAAAACAUUGCAGUGGCAAUUCUGUAAAUAAAGCAGGGUAUAAACGAAUUUAAAUAAAUGAAUUAAAUCCUGGAAAAAUCCUCUGGCCGAGGACUGCGCGCGCGAAAACAGGAUUCCUAGGGGGCUCUUUAACAAAAUGUCACACGAAGGGGUAUCAAGCGAUUCUGGCCGUUGGAUCAAGCUUGAACGCGCUGGAUUAAAAGAAAACAAAAAAAAGAAGAGAGAGAGGGAGGGGACGGUGCCUGCUACCGGAAGGGAAGCAGGACACGGCACGCAGCCAUGGUUUCCGGCCUAAGCUCGCCGGAGCAAGCGGACGGAAAGCUACGGUGCAUGGUUUUAGAUUCCGUUUGAACAGGGCAGAAAGAGGAGAUCGUCGCGAGUCCGCCCAUGCCCACAGAGUGGCCGGGGGUGAGCCUGCUCAGCACGCGCCACAGCCGGCGUCCUCAGAGCUCGACGGCGAGCAUGACUAGGGCGCGAUGGUGCUCGGUUUUCCAAGGCGAGCGCACCGAGAGAGAGAGGAAGCGAAGGCAAGCGCGAUUUGGCCCAAAACGCGGCCGGGGAAAGCCCCACGCGGCACGCGCCAUGGCCGACGGCCAUGGAGCUCGCCGGAGCUCCACGGUCGGCACGGAGGAGUGCCCCGUUUCGCGAGAAAAAUAGAUGAGAAGGAAGCGGGAGAGGAGGGGAGCUCACCAGCGCGAAGAACGGAGGCGGAGGUGGCUUGAAUCGCCGGGACGGCGUGCGGCGGUCGCGGUGUUGCUUCGGCGACAGUUUUCGCGGCGGCUGCUGCACGCGGAGAGCGGAGGCGAAUGGAGAGUGGAAUGGGGUGGGGGAGAGCGCCUCGUGCUUGCACGACUCAAAAGGGGCGAGUGACGGGGGAGAUCGUGGGAGCGGGGAGGGCCUCGGUGGUUGCUGCGAGCACUGGGAGCAGAAGAACGGUUGGGGGAGAGGGAUGACAAGCAGGCCCCGCCUGGCAGUGAGAGAGAAGACUUCCUUUUGUUUUUUUAAAGAAAUUUUCCAAACCCUUUUCAUAUUGAAUUUGAAUAAUUUUUCUUUGCAUAAAUUCACACAUCACAAAAUAAAAUGCCGCAGCAUGAAUGCAUCAAAAAAAAUGUUUUCUAAACCUAUAUUAAAUUUUAUUUUCCCAAAAUUCAUUUAUUUUUCCUAUAUUUUAAUGCUUACAAAAUUCACUCAAUAAAUCGAAUUUUAACUAUUUUAAAGAAGGAAUUUUUAGGGUGUUACAAUUCUACCCCCUUAAAAUGAAUCUCGUCCUCGAGAUUCGGAAGAGGCUCCGAUCCUCUGAGAGAAACAGGAAAAUAUCUUGAUAAUCCUUUCAACUUGACGACUUGCAUACCAAAUGCAAACACUUAUACCUCAAGGUCACACCUCGUGAACAACAUUUCCAUUGAAUAACUAUUAUUCAUAGUUGACCAAAGUCCAUCUUGACUACUAAUUUCUUUUAGCUUACAACUCCAAGAGACAUGAAAACUUAAUAUGCAUUUGCCUCCUCAGGUAGGACUGGGCCACCCUGAUACUCAAUUCUUUUCCCUGACGGUGCUGUUAAGAGCAUUUUGUACUGGGUACCAUAGAUCACUCCUUUGUGUGCACACAACCAUCCAUUACCAAGGACCAAGGGAAUACCAAGCGACUCUAGCACAAUGAGGUUUACAGUGAAGUUUUCCUUGUUUAUGACCAAAUUGAUAUUUGACCACACCUGAUUUGCUUGUAUUUCUCCCACUGGGGUUUGAACUAGUAAAGGCUUCUUCGUUGGACACUUUACCCUCUCGAUUGUCUUUACGAGGUCGGUGGAAAUGAAAGAAUGUGAAGCACUCGGGUCAAAGAGAGCAAAAACUUGCACUGAGUCUACUUGAAUAUAGCCACCAACCACUUUGGUAGCUCCAUGAAUGUUAUGCCUAUCCACGUUGCUCAGUCUUCCAUUGAUAUAGUCUCGUUGCACCCUACUUCCAUGAGCAGGCUUCUUACGGCUUUUCCUUUUUCUCUUUUGCCGUUGUGGAUUCUGAUUUGAUUCACUUCCAACUUGCUCUUCAGUAUCAUUGUUUUGAUAAUACUCAGUUUCAUCAUACUCAUAACAUCCAUCAAGGGUAGGAUCAUCAUUCUCUUCCCACGUAUCAGUAAGAGGCAUCAUAUAGGGCUCCUGAUCCAUGGGAUACUACACUCCCUGUCAUCAAGUGACCAACGUCAAUAACACGAGAUGGAGAGAUGAUCAUAUUCAUAGAAUAUCUCACGAGACAAUUCUCACUUCAAGAUAAGUUGAAAAUGCAUCAACCCGUGAUAUCAAGGUACUACCCCCUUAAGAAAAGUCGACUAGGAGUCACAAGGAAGGUAACUUGCACUUUUUCUUGACAAGUUAUUUUGCACUGAGACCUUUUGACAUCCCAAGGAACUUAUGUGCAAGGAAGAAUUAAAUAUCCUGAAAUUUCCUCGCGAUAAGAACAUCGCCAGCACAGUUAAAUGGACAUAACUCUUGUUCUGUUAAUCCAAUAGGGUUAUAGCUUAUACCGUUAGAAAGCUUGGCAACUUAUCUAAAACUUUGCUGUAGAACACCUUUCCAAAAUCUAUAGUUGUAUUUGUCCCAAACGGUAAGCAACCAAAACUGGUCCAGGUUCUCGACAACACAAUUGUAUCAUCUUGUGAUUUUCAUAACUCCAAUACCAAAACAGCUAUGGGGGUGAUUCUUAAGGUCAGAGAAAAAUCUUGAAGUCCACUAUCAUCCAGAAUUUUCUCAUGAUUUUUGGUCAUCCCGGAUCAAAGAUAUGAACUGAUAAAGAAGUGAUACUCUGGAAAGGCAGGAUAAGAUAACAAGAGAAAAACCAAAACCCAACUAUUUAUGUCAUUAGUCCUUAUGCCUUAGACACAUAAACUAAAUGAAAUUGUGAAGAAACUCACAAGAUCAUUACACUCAUUACAAAGAUCCAAAUCAAACAUAAACAUAAAGACAAUUCAACCAAGCAGUAAAGGUUCACAAGGCACACAAACUCGACUUUCGCUACUAGCGUUUUUAUUACACAAGGGCACAAACCCUAUAUCUUAAACUCAGUGUGGCUUCUUUCAUGAUACUACUGUUGGUUCUUCUGUGGACAAGACUUUACAUAGUGUCCUUCCUGUCGGUAGUGAUAACACUUUUUCUUAGCUGGAUCCUUCGUGAUAUCAUUUUCCACUGAGGUGUUGCUCGCUGUGUUAUCAGUUCGCUGACUCUGAAGGUUUGUCUCUGGCUGGCUAGCUUUCUUCCUAACUUGGUUGAUCCUUCGAGGUUGAAACUCUUUAUAAGUGAUGGUCCAUCCAUCUAUGCAUACCUCAUGAGCAGUGGGGUUAGCUUGAGAAGUUUCUUCAUCUCCAAGGUUUGGAUUUUCAUAGCCAGUGUCCAAAGCUAAAUGUGACAACUUAGGAUUUGAGUGUUGUUCACUUCCCAAUGCUGGCUCUAGUGAUUUUGCCUUCCUCUUCUUAUCCUCAUUAGUCACACAAUUUGGUUUUACCUUAACUUCCUUUUUAGAUGACCUAUUCCGAAGACAAGGAAGACCAUAAUGCCUACAGCAAUGGCAUUGAUCCUGAGAUCCCGAUGUAUUACUACCAACACCUCCAAGAGUUCUCAUAUUUUUCCAAGCUUCUGCUACUUGUCUCUUCACUGGUCCUGAGAUGCACUGUUGAGAGUUCCCAUUCUGAGUCAUUCCUUCCACUACUUGCUUUUGCAUGGCUAGAAGCUUCUCCGUGUCGAAUGCUUUUAUGGGCGGCGUAGCUAGGUCCUUUUGUCCAUUCAUGCCAAAGGUCUCCUCAUUAUGAGCCAUCUAAAUAGACAAGGAGGUUGGAUUUAGAAUAGAGACAAAGUUUUAUAAUAGAAUAGGGCAGAGGGAAGCAUAAUUUUUUGUUAGCAAUUAUCAAGGUUAAGGUGAGAGCAAGAAGUAAGCAGAGAUAGAAGCAUUCUAAAACGUCCGGUUCUAACUAGGCUUGCGUCCUACAAUCAGCAUUGCUUUGAUACCACUUUAUAACACCCAAUUUUAAGAACAAAAUCAGAUAUGCACCAUAUGUGAGUUUUAGAAGACAAACCUCACAUAUAGCUACAAAUAAGGGGUAAUAUCAAAGGACAACGCAUAAAUUACAUAGCGUACAUAGAAAAUCAGAAACAACCUUAGACAGCAAACCACGGAAGAGAACUCCAAACUUCGGGUGCUAACCUCACUCUACAGGAUCCAACUGACUGGUUGAUCACAAGCCCAAUACUUCUCCUGAGGUGUGGGGGAGAUAGCAAGAGUGAGUCCAAGACGAACUCCGCAAGUAUAACAACUAGAUUGUAUAGAUUCCACAAUCUCAUGAUCAAUGUGACAUAAAUAAUAUAGAGCAUUAAACAAUAAUCAAUGAGUUUCUUAACACAAGAUUCAUCACCCUUAAUGUAAGAGUUCCCAAGGCCGCUCGUGACCGUGAGCACGGCUAGUAUACCAGUUUUUAAUACUCUGCAGAGGUUGUACAUCUUUACCCAUGAGUCAUGAUUUACCCUUUCGCCUGAGGUAAUCAGCCUCGUAACCCACUACCAAGGUAGGUCGGCAGGGAUCACUAUGAAGUCUUUCAAAGGUUCGUCUAACAAGUUAGGGCCGCUUGGUUUCGGUAGUCAGUCCGUGUGAUUCUACCACUCGCAGGGAAUCCACGGUCUGCUAUCCCCCAUUUGCGCCACACGGGUAACCUCUAACAAGCUAGAAAAAUUACUCAUACUUGACUAAAGCCAGAGCCAUUAUAGCCCUCAUGGUUGCACUUUCAUUAUUAUCAUUUGUUGCUUUAUAUCAAUCUAGUCAAAAGAUCAUGGUCAUAGAAUUAAAACUCAAAUGCUAUACUUGUCUUGAUCCAAUUGCUCCUGCUAGUCCUUCUGAUCUUACUUGCCUCCAAGACUCUGAUCUUGAUCACCGAAGUAAUGCCCACUGACUAGGCUCGGUCACCAAAUAUCAACACACAAGCAAUCGGAGACAGAUAUACACGAAGCAAACAAGAUUACAAUUAGAACAGUACACCAGCAGUAAAUAAAUUUAAAUAAAAGUUUUCCAAAAUUAUCUACACGCUGCUACGAUCAUGUCAACGAGAAAUUCAUGGAAAACGGAGUUACGACGCGAAAGUUACGCUUUUAACGGGAUUUCAACAGCAGUUUACGGUCUUGUAAUUUACUAGGGAAUCUAACAGUGGUGAAUCUAGCCAACAAAGGUACCAACGCGAAGCUUAUGAAAUUAUGAAACUAACGCAACUUGAACGGAUCGAAACGGAGCUAAAACGGAGAAGAUAUGAAUUUUCUAAGAUUUUAUAUAGAAAAGUAAUUUAAUAAAUAGGGUCACAAAAUUGAAAUGUUUCAAACUGAUGAACCAAGAUUACUAACAUGUUGAUCUCGCGAAAACGAAUCUAACGCAAUUUGAACGGGUCAAAUCGGAGUUAAAACGAAUAUUUUAUGGCCAAAACAUUGCAGUGGCAAUUCUGUAAAUAAAGCAGGGUAUAAACGAAUUUAAAUAAAUGAAUUAAAUCUUGGAAAAAUCCUCUGGCCGAGGACUGCGCGCGCGAAAACAGGAUUCCUAGGGGGCUCUUUAACAAAAUGUCACACGAAGGCGUAUCAAGCGCUUCUGGCCGUUGGAUCAAGCUUGAACGCGCUGGUUUUAAAAGAAAAUAAAAAAAAAGAAGAGAGAGAGGGAGGGGACGGUGCCUGCUACCGGAAGGGAAGAUGGUUUCCGGCCGAAGCUCGCCGGAGAAAGCGGACGGGAAGCUACGGUGCAUGGUUUUAGAUUCCGUUUGAACAGGGAGAAAGAGGAGAUCGUCGCGAGUCCGCCCAUGCCCACAGAGUGGCCGGGGGUGAGCCUGCUCAGCACGCGCCACAGCCGGCGUCCUCAGAGCUCGACGGCGAGCAUGACUAGGGCGCGAUGGUGCUCGGUUUUCCAAGGCGAGCGCACCGAGAGAGAGAGGAAGCGAAGGCAAGCGCGAUUUGGCCCAAAACGCGGCCGGGGAAAGCCCCACGCGGCACGCGCCAUGGCCGACGGCCAUGGAGCUCGCCGGAGCUCCACGGUCGGCACGGAGGAGUGCCCCGUUUCGCGAGAAAAAUAGAUGAGAAGGAAGCGG